AUUGAACGCUGGCGGCAGGCCUAACACAUGCAAGUCGAGCGGAAGAAGACUUCGGUCUUCGAGAGCGGCGGACGGGUGAGUAACGCGUGGGAAUCUGGCUCUUAGGGGGGGACAACUUGUGGAAACACAAGCUAAUACCGCAUACGCCCUAAGGGGGAAAGCAGGGGAUCUUCGGACCUUGCGCUAAGAGAUGAGCCCGCGUCGGAUUAGCUAGUUGGUGGGGUAAAGGCCUACCAAGGCGACGAUCCGUAACUGGUCUGAGAGGAUGAUCAGUCACACUGGAACUGAGACACGGUCCAGACUCCUACGGGAGGCAGCAGUGGGGAAUAUUGGACAAUGGGGGCAACCCUGAUCCAGCCAUGCCGCGUGUGUGAAGAAGGCCUUCGGGUUGUAAAGCACUUUAAGUUGGGAGGAAAGGGUUGUGGCUAAUAUCCAAAAUCUAUGACGUUACCAACAGAAUAAGCACCGGCUAACUCCGUGCCAGCCGCCGCGGUAA
rnacentral:rRNA from 1 species